UGAUGCAACUUUGAUUUCAGUCCA
rnacentral:piRNA from 1 species